GACGAACGCUGGCGGCGUGCUUAACACAUGCAAGUCGAACGGAAAGGCCCCUUCGGGGGUGCUCGAGUGGCGAACGGGUGAGUGACACGUGGGUGAUCUGCCCUGCACUUUGGGAUAGGCCUGGGAAACUGGGUCUAAUACCGGAUAGGACUACGCGAUGCAUGUCGUGUGGUGGAAAGCUUUUGCGGUGUGGGAUGGGCCCGCGGCCUAUCAGCUUGUUGGUGGGGUGAUGGCCUACCAAGGCGACGACGGGUAGCCGGCCUGAGAGGGUGUCCGGCCACACUGGGACUGAGAUACGGCCCAGACUCCUACGGGAGGCAGCAGUGGGGAAUAUUGCACAAUGGGCGCAAGCCUGAUGCAGCGACGCCGCGUGAGGGAUGACGGCCUUCGGGUUGUAAACCUCUUUCAAUAGGGACGAAGCGCAAGUGACGGUACCUAUAGAAGAAGCACCGGCCAACUACGUGCCAGCCGCCGCAGUAAAAC
rnacentral:rRNA from 1 species